UGUAGGAGCUGCGGCACGCUGCGAUCUUUUGAUCUUGAUUGUUAAGAUCAAAAGAUCGCAGCGUGCCGCAGCUCCUACA
rnacentral:misc_RNA from 1 species